GAUGAACGCUGGCGGCGUGCCUAAUACAUGCAAGUCGAGCGAACGGACGAGAAGCUUGCUUCUCUGAUGUUAGCGGCGGACGGGUGAGUAACACGUGGAUAACCUACCUAUAAGACUGGGAUAACUUCGGGAAACCGGAGCUAAUACCGGAUAAUAUUUUGAACCGCAUGGUUCAAAAGUGAAAGACGGUCUUGCUGUCACUUAUAGAUGGAUCCGCGCUGCAUUAGCUAGUUGGUAAGGUAACGGCUUACCAAGGCAACGAUGCAUAGCCGACCUGAGAGGGUGAUCGCCCACACUGGAACUGAGCCACGGUCCAGACUCCUACGGGAGGCACCAGUAGGGAAUCUUCCGCAAUGGGCGAAAGCCUGACGGAGCAACGCCGCGCGAGUGAUGAAGGUCUUCGGAUCGUAAAACUCUGUUAUUAGGGAAGAACAUAUGUGUAAGUAACUGUGCACAUCUUGACGGUACCUAAUCAGAAAGCCACGGCUAACUACGUG
rnacentral:rRNA from 1 species